UUAAACCCAAAGAAUUUGGCGGUACUUUAUUCUAUUUAGAGGAACCUGUCCCAUGAUUGAUAGUUCACGAUUAACUUUACUUAAUCUAUUUGUUUGUAUAUCUCCGUUAUCAGAAAAUCUUUUUAGAGUUUUUAAUUUUCGAGAUUUUUUAUUAUAAAAUAUUUCAGGUCAAGGUGCAGCUUAUGAUUAAGAGGAGGUGGGUUACAAUAAAUUUUUAUUUAUUACGGAUUAUUUUUUGUAAAAUUUAUAUUAAGGUGGAUUUAAUAGUAAAUUAUUUAAUUUAAUUUAAUUGAUAUAAGCUCUGAGGUGUGUACACAUC
rnacentral:rRNA from 1 species